UUCCUUCAGCAGGACAUAUACUAACAUUGGAAUGAUAGAGAGAAGAUUAACAUAGCCCCUGCACAAGGAUAACAUGAAAAUUCAUGAAGCAUUUUAUAUAAAU
ensembl:snRNA U6 U6 spliceosomal RNA